rnacentral:lncRNA from 1 species
UUUCUUUCUUCUUCUCUCUAUACGUUGGUGUUCUAACCAAUAAUCACCGAUGCGAUGUUCUGUCCGAUCAAUUCAGGAACCAACUAACGGAUGCCAAAAGUGCUAUACUUUGAGAGUUCGUUAAACGGAUGCCAAAGUACUAUACUUUGAGAGUUCGUUAAACGGAUGCCAAAGUGCUAUACUUUGUGAUUUCGGUAAAAGGAAUCCAAAGUGUUACACUUUGUGAAAUUUGUUAAGGUUCGAAUCUCGUGACUACCGUUAAGGUUUGAUUUGGGUUUUACACAAAUACGUAUUCCAUUCUGUUAAACUAUAUGUUUAACUACCAAAAAUACUCCCAACUACACACUCACAAUCAAACAAACUAUUAAAUCAUCAGAAGAUCCAGAAUAAUAAAGUGCAUGCUUAAUUAUCGGAAGAAGUAGAAUCAAGAAGCUUGUUAACUCAAUCUUGCAUGCUUAUAAAGUAAUUACAGUAAAUUGGAGUAAGGAUUGGAUCCAGCACUGAAGGACUUCAAGAAGUGGCUUAUUUUAUUAAUAAAAUCAACU